CCUACGGGUGGCAGCAGUGAGGAAUAUUGGUCAAUGGCCGGAAGGCUGAACCAGCCAUGCCGCGUGAAGGUCAGUGCCCUAUGGGCGUUAAACUUCUUUUGUUCGGGAGCAAUAAUGGUCACGUGUGGCCAGACGAGAGUACCGUACGAAUAAGCAUCGGCUCACUCCGUGCCAGCAGCCGCGGUAAUACGGGGGAUGCAAGCGUUAUCCGGAUUUAUUGGGUGUAAAGGGGGCGCAGACGGCAGCGCAAGCCAGGAGUGAAAGCCCGGGGCCCAACCCCGGGACUGCUCUUGGAACUGCGCGGCUGGAGUGCAGGAGGGGCAGGCGGAAUUCCUGGUGUAGCGGUGAAAUGCGUAGAUAUCAGGAGGAACACCGGUGGCGAAGGCGGCCUGCUGGACUGCGACUGACGUUGAGGCCCGAAAGCGUGGGGAGCAAACAGGAUUAGAUACCCGAGUAGUC
rnacentral:rRNA from 1 species